CCAAUAGCGUAUAUUAAGGUUGCUGCGGUUAAAAAGCUCGUAGUUGAAUUUCGGGAUUGAUACAUCGGUCGUGCCUUAAGGGGUAUGAGCUGGUGUGGUCAAUUUUUUACCUUCUGGUGAAUUGUGAUGUCCUCCUCAAUUGGGUGUUUCAAUGAACUAGGACUUUUUACUUUGAAAAAAUUAGAGUGUUUAAAGCAGGCAUUAUUUGCUUGAAUACAUUAGCAUGGAAUAAUAAAAUAGGACAAUGAUUCUAUUUUGUUGGUUUCUAGGAUCACUGUAAUGAUUAAUAGGGAUAGUUGGGGGCAUUAGUAUUCAAUUGUCAGAGGUGAAAUUCUUGGAUUAAUUGAAGACUAACUAUUGCGAAAGCAUUUGCCAAGGAUAUUUUCAUUAAUCAAGAACGAAAGUUAGGGGAUCGAAGACGAUUAGGUACGUCGUAGUCUUAACCAUAAACUAUGCCGACUAGGAAUCAGACAACGUUAAAUUUUUAAUGACUUGUUUGGCACCUUACG
rnacentral:rRNA from 1 species